UUCGACCUCAAAUCAGGUAGGACUA
rnacentral:rRNA from 1 species